rnacentral:rRNA from 1 species
CCUACGGGAGGCAGCAGUGAGGAAUAUUGGUCAAUGGACGAGAGUCUGAACCAGCCAAGUAGCGUGAAGGAUGACUGCCCUAUGGGUUGUAAACUUCUUUUAUAUGGGAAUAAAACGUUCCACGUGUGGGAUUUUGUAUGUACCAUAUGAAUAAGGAUAGGCUAACUCCGUGCCAGCAGCCGCGGUAAUACGGAGGAUCCGAGCGUUAUCCGGAUUUAUUGGGUUUAAAGGGAGCGUAGGUGGAUUGUUAAGUCAGUUGUGAAAGUUUGCGGCUCAACCGUAAAAUUGCAGUUGAAACUGGCAGUCUUGAGUACAGUAGAGGUGGGCGGAAUUCGUGGUGUAGCGGUGAAAUGCUUAGAUAUCACGAAGAACUCCGAUUGCGAAGGCAGUUCACUGGACUGCAACUGACACUGAGGCUCGAAAGUGUGGGUAUCAAACAGGAUUAGAUACCCCUGUAGUC